rnacentral:rRNA from 1 species
UACGUAGGUGGCGAGCGUUAUCCAGAAUUAUUGGGCGUAAAGAGCUCGUAGGCGGUUCGGUAAGUCGGCUGUGAAAUCUCCACGCUCAACGUGGAGGGGUCAGUCGAAACUGCCGUGACUCGAGUCCGGUAGAGGAGUGUGGAAUUCCCGGUGUAGCGGUGAAAUGCGCAGAGAUCGGGAGGAACACCCGUAGCGAAGGCGGCACUCUGGGCCGGUACUGACGCUGAGGAGCGAAAGCGUGGGGAGCAAACAGG